CUGGGUCAAUACAGAAUCCUUUUCUUUCUCCAUCUGAACAGAAGAGAAGGAAUUAAACUAACAAAGCACUGAUUAUGUUACAAGGUUCUGCCAAAGAAAAGA